ACUGUUGACAGGAAAGAAAAAAAACGAAAAAAGAACAAAUUUGAACAAAAAGAACAAACAAAAAAUUCUAAAUAGAAAAGAAUAGAAAAAAAAAGAAAGUAUAUCAAAUUGACUCUUUCUUUUUUUUUCUUCACUUGUUAUGAUUAAUUGUUUCAUCUUUAGAAUUGAAUUUAAAUUGUUAAUUAAACGGUUUUUUAUUUCUCUCAACGGUUAACAAUUUGUUAUCGUUUUUGAUUGUUGUUUCUUGUUCUUCUUUUUAUUAACUAACAUGUUAACUUAUUAAUUGAUUUUCUUAUUCUCAUGAGUGUUUUGUGUAUUUGGUUUUUUUUUCAAUUCUUUGAUGGUGAUAACCUUUUGUUUACACCAUGUGAACAAUUUACUCAACCAGAUUGUGAUUUAAAUAAUUAAUCGAUAACCAGUGGAAAUCAUUAACUAAGAUGAAUCUAUUGAUUAGAUUGACAUUCCAUUAAUUAGUUUGUUCCUUUCUUUGUAUUUUUCGUUCAAGUGGUUAACUAAUAUAAUAAUAAGAGACCGAAUGUUGAUAACAUGGGAAACACUUUCUCUCUUAAUCAACUGGGUAACCUAAAGAGCCAAAUACAAUUACAAUUUGUUAAACAUAGAGAAUGGAACAUAUUGAGAUCUGGUUAACAGUUAAUUAUCAACAAUUAAUGGUGGUCAUGUUAUCCUAAUCUUUAACGUAAUUAACUGGUCACAAGAUUAAUAGACAAGGGUAAUGACAACUAAUACAUUUCAUAUAAUAUUUGUUUCUAUAUGAAUGUUAACUUGAUGGUCAAGGAAAACAAAUCAAUCAAAGGAAAAGAAUUGCAACUUUUUUCUUCUCAUCGUUUUCUCUGAUUUAAUAAUCGUUUCAAUCAAUAGACAGAAAAUCUCAUGAACUAUCCUCAUCUUGAUUAACUGAAUUAACAUUUAAUAGUGACCAUUAACCAUAUUAAUUAGAACCUCAUAUUCAUUGGAUAUCCAAGGUCAAUCCAAUAUGAAUCAAUUUGAAACCAACGCCUUAACUUUUGAUUAACUUUACUCAUAUUCUAAUUGUCUUAUUGUUUAUUGAAAAUAUAAAUCCAGAUGAUUAAUUGGAUAAUUAAUGAACUAAAUGUAUCGUCAUUCUCAGCCAAUUGACUAAAACCUACGCCCAACUGAAUGAUGUAUGUACAUGUACCGAUAUUUAGAUGUAGGAAAUGAAAUCUUUGUCUUCCUUACCUCAGAAUCAAGACCCAGAAUGAACAGCAUUGCAAAGAAAGCAACAGACCAGAAUUCAGGGAACGGUAAACGAGAAAGGGCUUCAGGAUAAAUGACGAAUGCAAGUCCAGGGCCACUUUUGACCACAUCCUUUAUAUCAACAUUAAGUUCAUGAGCUAAUGCACCGAGUACUGAGAAAAUGACCAAACCAGCAAUUAUACUGGUCACUGUAUCCAAUAUGCUAACGACCAUAGCAUCACUAUUGAUGAAGAAAAAAUAAUCAAUUUGAAAUUAGUCUUAACUCAUCUAAUCAAUCAUAGUUUUGUUGACAGUUAAAAGGCAUACUUGAAAUCUACUCCAAUCAUAAUUCAAAUUUGAUUAAUCAAUUUCGAUUGAAGUGUUUUCAUUGAUUUCAACGUUUCUCCUGAAUCGAUGAAACUACAGUCAGACCAAGUAUCUCUUUAUGAAUCAAUUAAUUUUCAAAUUUUGAUUCAAGUUUCGUACAACAAAUGAAUCUAUCAUUGCAAAGUCUAACUUACCGGAAAACAUUGUGACUGAAAUCGUUGUAACUACUGUACAUUAUCAACGCACCCAUCGAGACACCAAGCGAGAAAAACAUUUGACUUGCCGCUGCGAGCCAUACCUUUGAUCAGGAGAAAUGAAAAACUCAGAGAGCAGUUUAUCCCAUGAAGGUGUAAUGAAGUACUUGACACCCUCCCAGGAUCCAGUUCGAGUAAAGCCAACAAGAAGGAGAGAGAUCAAGAUGGCGUAUGGAAACGUGGCUGCAAAAUAAACAACUUUUCCCGAUGU